CUCGCACUGCUGAACGGGAACCCUGGAAUUUGGCUUCUAGAGAUUUCUGGAACUAAACUCUUGCAUUGCGGAGUUUGUGUACACCCUAGCGGUCACACAAAAGUCACUUGUUUGAAGAUUUGAGAGAUAUAGUGAAAAGAAAAACAAAGCAAGAAAAACGCAACCUCAAACGAUUAUGAGCAGCUUCUAGAGAAUUCUGGAACUAAACUCUCGCGUUGUGGAGUUUGUGUACACCCUAGCGGUCACACAAAAGUCACUUGUUUGAAGAUUUGAGAGAUAUAGUGAAAAGAAAAACAAAGCAAGAAAAACGUAACCUCAAACGAUUAUGAGCAAUCAACAGCAAGGUGCAGGGGGCGGCCAGCCACCACCAAACAGUUCUCAUCAACAGCAAGGUACAGGGGGCAGCCAGCCACCACCAAACAGUUCUCAGCAAGGUGGACAGGGACAAGGAAACUCCUUCACAGGAGACCGUAUUCGUAAG